UUCACCUGGACUCACCUGCAUGGGCGUGCUCUCUGCCGACAAGGCUGUGAAGCCCACGAUGUCACUGAAGUAGAUCGUGACACUGUCGAAGGCUUCAGCCUGGACCGUCUCCCCGCGCUUCAGCUGCUCGGCCACUGAGCUGUGGGGUCAGGGACAGGUGUAGGAUCAGAGCAUGAGGUGGGGCUGGGACGGGGUGGCCGGGCAACACCAGACACAGGCACUCACUGAGGCAGAAUCUGGUAGAGCAGGGCCUCGGCUUUGCGUUUCUCCUCCAGCAUCAGGCGAAUCUGCUGGAAGGGUGGCCGCUCCUGUGGCUCCUCAGCCCAGCACCGCUGCAUCAGCUGCCCCAGCUCCUCCAGGGUCAGCCGGCUGCCUGCACUCCGGAGGUGCCUCUCAAGGCUACUGGGCUGCACGUCCUCCCAGCGCACCCGCCACAGCUCCGAGGCCAGUUCCUUCUCCAGCUGCAUCUUCCUGGGGUCCUCGCUACUUCCUCUGCUAGUUCUCCAGGCCUCCCAUCCUCACUCCCCACCCUCAUUCCAAGACUCACCUGCAUAUGAAGAAGGAGGCAGUCAGAAUGCUGAGCAGGGAGAGGCUCCCCACCAAAGCCAGCACUUCCAGGGAAGAAAAGUGAUCUGCACAAGAGUCCAAGUUCCAGCAAGAGAGAUUUGGU